rnacentral:rRNA from 1 species
CCGUAAGGCUAAAUACUACUUGGUGACCGAUAGUGGAAUAGUACCGUGAGGGAAAGGUGAAAAGAACCCCGGGAGGGGAAUGAAAUAGAAUCUGAAACCCUAUGCUUACAAGCAGAUAGAGCACGUUAAAGUGUGAUAUCGUACUUUUUGCAGAACGGUCCGGCGAGUUACUGUAUAUGGCAAGGAGAAGAGUUUAAGACUAAUAUCCGAAGCGAAAGCGAGUCUGAAUAGGGCGAAAUAAGUCAUGUGCAGUAGACCCGAAACCGAGUGACCUAUCCAUGUCCAGGAUGAAGCUAGAGUGAAAUCUAGUGGAGGUCCGCACCAGUAGACGUUGAAAAGUCUUUGGAUGAGGUGUGGAUAGCGGAGAAAUUCUAAUCGAACUCGGAUAUAGCUGGUUCUCCUCGAAAUAGCUUUAGGGCUAGCCUUGAACAAAAACCAUAUGGGGGUAGAGCACUGAAUGAGCUAGGGGCCAAACAAAGGUUACCAAACUUUAUCAAACUACGAAUACCAUGUGGGAGGUUCAGGAGUCAGACUACGGGAGCUAAGUUCCGUGGUCAAAAGGGAAAGAGCCCAGACCGUCAAUUAAGGUCCCAAAGAUAUAACUAAGUGGAAAACGAUGUGAUUUUGCGCAGACAACCAGGAUGUUGGCUUAGAAGCAGCCAUUCAUUUAAAGAGUGCGUAAUAGCUCACUGGUCGAGUGAAGUUGCGCGGAAAAUUACCGGGGCUAAGUUAUACACCGAAAUUGCGGAUUCAUUAAGAAAUUAAUGAGUGGUAGAGGAGCGUUCUAUACAGGAUGAAGUAUGAUCGAGAGGACAUAUGGACAGUAUAGAAGAGAGAAUGCCGGAAUGAGUAGCGAGAGCAAAGUGAGAAUCUUUGCCGUCGAAAAUCUAAGGUUUCCUGGGGAAGGUUCGUCCGCCCAGGGUAAGUCGGGACCUAAGGUGAGGCCGAAGGGCGUAGCCGAUGGACAGCAGGUUAAGAUUCCUGCACCAGUAUACAUGUAUAAUGCAUAAGAGGACACAUUUGAAGAAGGUGAGCGAGGAAGAGGAAAAACUCGUAUGGCAACAUAUAGUGAAAUUAAGUAACGAAUCAUCAAGAGGCAAGUGGCGAGAAAAGUCUUAUGUAGUUGUGUAGACUGCCCGUACCGCAAACCGACACAGGUAGAUGAGGAGAGGAUCCUAAGACGAGCGGGAGAAGCAUUGUUAAGGAACUCGGCAAAUUGACCCCGUAACUUAGGGAUAAGGGGUGCUGGUGUAAAAGCCAGUCGCAGUAAAUAGGCCCAAGCAACUGUUUAACAAAAACACAGGUUUCUGCUAAAUCGCAAGAUGAAGUAUAGGAGCUGACUCCUGCCCAGUGCUGGAAGGUUAAGGGGAAAGGUUAAGAAUAAUUCAUUAUAUCUGAAGCUUUGAACUCAAGCCCCAGUGAACGGCGGCCGUAACUAUAACGGUCCUAAGGUAGCGAAAUUCCUUGUCGGGUAAG